AGAGCGAACGCUGGCGGCAGGCUUAACACAUGCAAGUCGAGCGGGCGUAGCAAUACGUCAGCGGCAGACGGGUGAGUAACGCGUGGGAACAUACCUCUUGGUUCGGAACAACACAGGGAAACUUGUGCUAAUACCGGAUAAGCCCUUACGGGGAAAGAUUUAUCGCCGAAAGAUUGGCCCGCGUCUGAUUAGCUAGUUGGUGAGGUAACGGCUCACCAAGGCGACGAUCAGUAGCUGGUCUGAGAGGAUGAUCAGCCACAUUGGGACUGAGACACGGCCCAAACUCCUACGGGAGGCAGCAGUGGGAAUAUUGGACAAUGGGCGCAAGCCUGAUCCAGCCAUGCCGCGUGAGUGAUGAAGGCCCUAGGGUUGUAAAGCUCUUUUGUGCGGGAAGAUAAUGACGGUACCGCAAGAAUAAGCCCGGCUAACUUCGUGCCAGCAGCCGC
rnacentral:rRNA from 1 species